rnacentral:tRNA from 1 species
GCAGUGGUGGUUUAAUGAUAAAAUCCUCGCCUUCUAUGCAGGAGACCCAGGUUUGAUUCCGGACCAAUGCA